AACACGCUCCUUAGAUCCACCCUUGGGACAUGAACACAAGACCGGCCUACAUGGAAGCACCUCUGUGUAGGCCUAGUAUUGUAUUGUCCAGCAACUUUGUUGGUUGUACGUCGAGGGUGAUUGAGUCAUUGGCGUGUAACAUAAAUAUACCUGAGUCAUAGGUCCUACGCUGGCCAUGCUGUUAAUUCACUGUAACAUCUAUGCAUGGUCAGUUUAACCUGUGACUUGGACAAU